ensembl:snoRNA small nucleolar RNA SNORA68
CCAAACCCAAGAACUGCUGUUUGUCAUGGCAGCAGUCUAAACAGUUUAAACACGACAGCAAGCAGAUCCCGUUGCUUUUGGUGGCUGUGCCCCUCAAAGUGAAUUGGGAAAAAAAG